ensembl:lncRNA FAM86B3P family with sequence similarity 86, member A pseudogene
CGCCCGAGGAGAACGCGGGUACCAAACUCUUGCUGCAGGGUUUUGAGAGCCGCUUCCUAGUGGCGCGCACACUGCGCUCCUUCCCCUGGCAGACUGUGAGGCAUCCUGUGUGUGUGAAGCACCCGCCGUCAGUCAAGUAUGCCUGGUGCUUUCUCUCAGAACUCAUCAAAAAGCCCUCGGGAGGCUCGGUCACACUCUCCGAAAGCAUGGCCAUCAUCUCCCACAGCACCACGGGUCUGGUCACAUGGGAUGCCGCCCUCUACAUUGCAGAAUGGGCCAUCGAGAACCCGGCAGCCUUCACUCACAGGUCUGUCUUAGAGCUUGGCAGUGGUGCCAGCCUCACAGGCCUGGCCAUCUGCAAGAUAUGCCGCCCCCGGGCAUACAUCUUCAGCGACUGUCACAGCCGAGUCCUCGAGCAGCUCCAAGGAAAUGUCCUUCUCAAUGGCCUCUCAUUAGAGGCAGACAUCACUGCCAACUUAGACAGCCCUAGGGUGACAAUGGCCCAGCGCUGGACUGGGACGUAGUGACGGUCCAUCAGCGCUCUGCCUUCCAGCUAGAUGUUGUCAUUGCAGCAGGUUUUUGCUUGUCUGAUGACUGAUGGCUCCACCCAGACCUGCCAACCACUCCCGCGGCCCCAUCCAGAAGUGGCUCAGCGUGCAUGAGGACCAUCUCCAACAUCCCUGUGAUUGUACCCCCAACCAACCAGCAGCAAGAACCUAUUGCCUAGUCACCUCCCCUCUCUUUCCCCAACUAUCAUUGAAAAAGUCUGGCUUCCAAAUUUUCCGGGAGACUGAUUUGGGUAAUAAUAAAACUCCAGUCUUCUGUUCAGCCA